rnacentral:snoRNA from 1 species
CAGCAUCCUCUGAUAGACCAUGAGCACUUUUCCUGUUGCUCUCUGGUUUGCACUAAGAUGCAAAAAUAACUUCCUUGCGCUUUCUGCCUGCCUGACUGGCAGCACAGAUUGAAUUAGGGAAUACACAA